CUGAUACUCCCUCCGCCCGGAAAUACUUGUCCUCAAAAUGGUUGUAUCUAAACAUAUUUUAGUUAUAGAUACAUCCAUUUACAACAAUUUCGAGGACAAGUAUUUCAGAACGGAGGGAGUACACA
rfam:Triticum aestivum genome assembly, contig: Triticum_aestivum_CS42_TGACv1_scaffold_624115_7DS